rnacentral:piRNA from 1 species
CCGGGACUCUUGUUUGCAGAGAUGCUGCAA